GAGUAACGCGUGGAUAAGCUACCCUCAAGUCGGGGACAACCUCGGGAAACUGAGGCUAAUACCGGAUGUGGUCCUCCUUCCUAGGAAGGAGUGACUAAAGGUGGGGCUCCUUCGGGACCUGCCGCUUGGGGAGGUGUCCGCGUGCCAUCAGCUUGUUGGUAGGGUAACGGCCUACCAAGGCUUACGGCUAGCUGGUCUGAGAGGAUGACCAGCCACACUGGGACUGAGACACUGCCCAG
rnacentral:rRNA from 1 species